rnacentral:tRNA from 1 species
GGGCCCUUAGCUCAGUCUGGUUAGAGCGCUCGGCUCAUAACAAGCGCCGGUACCGUGCCGGGUUUGAGGGAUACCGAGUGGUCGAUGGUUCGAAUCCGUCAGGGCCCA